ensembl:lncRNA
CAGCUAUUCCACCUGGGUUCUUUCCUUUCCUUUCCAGGCUGAGGAACAGAGGAAUGGACAGAACAUGAGAGGGGCAGAUGGGACUGGAGGGCCCAUCCUCACGUCUGCGUCCACUCCAGCCACUGCGUGUUGUUUGGCCAGGGUCAGGGUCUGUAGUGGCUCCAGACCAGCCGCACAGGGUGUGCAGCUGUGUGAGACUCCACUUCCGAGGCCCUUCUUAGGGGGUUCCCCACCCCGGCUCCACGUGGGAAUCAGCUGGGGAGGGAGCUUCGCCCGGCCGUGCCCGGGCAACCCGACUUGACCUUGCUUCCAGAGGCAGCGGCCUCGCUGUGCUCCCGGAGCCACGAGCUGAGAUCCACUGCUCCAGGUCAGAGGCUGGGUCACACACAGAUCGCAGGCCCUUCCUCCAGGUCUGCCUCCACCUCUGCAUCCAGGAGACAUCUUCCUGCAGGGCUGGGCCUCCGUUUCUCUGGAAGCUCUUUCCACUCCCUACUGUCUCCCAAGGUCCAGAGACUUCAGAGGCCCUGGUCAGCUGGGCUCUGCUCAGGCUGCCGGAAGCCACGGUGUGGGGGGACCAGCCCACCUAGCCCUGUGGCUGGGAGAAGAGCGGGCAAUGAGGACACCGGGAGAGAAAGGGACAGGGAGGGAGAGGAGGAGACAGCCACGGAGCCCACAGCUGCUGCUGCGGUUGCAGCCUUGCCAGGCCAGGGCACCACACAGACCCAGACCCUGGGGCGCCCGCCUGCUGUGAGUCCCCAUUGCUGCGGAUGCGAAUUGGCCUCCCUCAGCCUCCCUGUGCCUCAGUUACCCUACCUUCCAGACAGGGAUGAGCUUCCGCCUGCCUGUGGGAGGGCACGGGCACCCCGGAGGAGCCAAGCUGUCCGUCACUCUGCAUCGUGCUAUCCUUGGGCUUUUUGGCUGCUCCCUUCACCCGCUCUCUGCCUUGUCCUCGGAGGCAGUUUUAAUCACUGCACUGCAGAAGCCCUCAUGGCCCAGCUCACAAGGUAAAAGCCCGACUCUGGGGCUUGGCUCUUGACUACCUGGUCCUGCCCACAGCCUCCCUUCCAAAGCAGUGUGCUCCCGUGCGGUUCUCCCUGCUUCUUCCCUCCCCUCCCCGCGCCCACUGCCGGUAUCCCUGUCACGUCACACUCAGCUCUCACUUCUGCC